AGAUUGCCCAUAUUUCCCUUUUUAUAGUUUGGCAAUAUCUUUUCCCUUUUCCAGUCUUCUGGAAUCUGUCCCAUCUUCCAUGACUUUUCAAAGAUAAUUGCUAAUGGCUCAGAUAUCUCCUCAUUCAGCUCCUUGAGUACUCUAGGGUGCAUUUCAUCAGUCCUUGGUGACUUGAAGACAUCUAACUUGUCUCAAGUACUUUUUAACUUGUGCUUUC